rnacentral:rRNA from 1 species
AGCAGCCGCGGUAAUUCCAGCUCCAAUAGCGUAUAUUAAAGUUGUUGCAGUUAAAACGUCCGUAGUCGAACUUUGGUUUGGGCUUGUGCCUGGCGUCCUUCAUUGGGCGUUUGGGUUGCAUGCCUUGCCAUGUUGUAGGGGUGCAGUCUUUCGGGGCUGAUGAUCUCUGCGUAUUACCAUGAGCAAAUCAGAGUGCUCAAAGCAGGCUUUAUAGCUUGAAUGUUUUAGCAUGGAAUAAUGAAAUAAGCCUUAGGUCUUGUUUCGUUGGUUUACUUGACACUGGGGAAUGAUGAAUAGGAACGGUUGGGGGCAUUUGUAUUUGGCCGCUAGAGGUGAAAUUCUUGGAUUGGCCGAAGACAAACUACUGCGAAAGCAUUUGACCCAGGACGUUUUCAUUGAUCAGGGACUAAAGUUGAGGGAUCGAAGACGAUUAGAUACCGUCGUAGUCUUAACCAUAAACUAUGCCGACUAGGGAUCGGAUGAUGUUAAUUUUUUAAUGACUCA